GGCGAGNNNNCGGCAACAGCUCAAAUUUGAAAGCUAGCCUUCGGGUUCGCAUUGUAAUUUGUAGAGGAUGAUUUGGGGAAGCCGCCUGUCUAAGUUCCUUGGAACAGGACGUCAUAGAGGGUGAGAAUCCCGUAUGUGACAGGAAAUGGCACCCUAUGUAAAUCUCCUUCGACGAGUCGAGUUGUUUGGGAAUGCAGCUCUAAAUGGGAGGUAAAUUUCUUCUAAAGCUAAAUAUUGGCGAGAGACCGAUAGCGCACAAGUAGAGUGAUCGAAAGAUGAAAAGCACUUUGGAAAGAGAGUUAAAAAGCACGUGAAAUUGUUGAAAGGGAAGCGCUUGCAAUCAGACUUGUUUAAACUGUUCGGCCGGUCUUCUGACCGGUUUACUCAGUUUGGACAGGCCAGCAUCAGUUUCGGCGGCCGGAUAAAGGCUCUGGGAAUGUGGCCUCCACUUCGGUGGAGGUGUUAUAGCCCAGGGUGUAAUACGGCCAGCCGGGACUGAGGUCCGCGCUUCGGCUAGGAUGCUGGCGUAAUGGUUGUAAGCGACCCGUCUUGAAACNACG
rnacentral:rRNA from 1 species